UCCGCCUAGAGCAGCAUCAACCUACUGUAGAUCUAUCAGUGGCUGGCACAAAUUUUACUGUAAAUCUUCCUUUUCUCGUCCAAACCGAGGGGGGCGUUCUCAAUCUUUCUCUGGCUAUCGAGGUGCAACCAACACCAACUCUUACAGAGGAUCACGAGGCAGUGGGCGUGGUCGCUCUCAGCCCUCCAAAAUGGUUUGCCAAGUAUGCAACAAAACUGGUCAGACUGCUCUCCGUUGUUACCACAGGCACGAUGACAACUAUCAAAGUGAAUCAUCCAACAUACAAGCCUAUGUUGCCUCGUCAUCUCAAAAUUAUGAUCCUUCUUGGUAUCCCGACAUUGGCACAACGCAUCAUCUCACUUCUGACUUUGCCAAUCUCAAUGUUAAAGCUAAGGAAUACACUGGAUUUGAUCAGAUUCGAAUGGGUAACGGACCAAGCAACAGGGACAAUUCUACUGCACGGGCCGAGUAAACAUGGGUUGUACCGACUCUUACCCAUCACAAAGUCAUCUCCUUCAGCUCUCAUUGGUGAACGUACCUCUUUCUCCCAUUGGCACUCUCGCUUAGGCCAUCCUGCUUUCAACAUUAUUCGAAGAGUCAUCUCCCAAUUCAACCUUCCAGUAUAAUCCAAUAAGUCAGAACUUACAUGUUCUUCAUGUUUAAGUUCCAAAAUCAAACAAUUACCUUUCUCUCGGUCUUCUAGUCGUUCCUUGAGUCCUGUUGAGUUAAUUUACACUGAUGUAUGGGGUCUUUCCCCUAUUCUUUCAAAUAAUGGAAAUCGUUAU